AUACAAACUAAUACAAAACAUAUUCCAAACCACAUCUAAUUUUCACCUAACUAUAUACACUUUAGAAAUGGAGAAGUCCUCAGUUAAGUUGGCUUGCAUGUUGUUGAUGUUCUUUAUUGUCUCUGAAACAUUGUUCGUCUCAGAAGCAAGACAUGUAGUAAACGUUCCAUGCAAUACUGAGAAAGAUUGUUCGAAUCCAGGCCGAUGUAUUUGCAACUUCCACCUAUGUUUUUGUAAGGCAGAAUCUACGGAGACAAUCUUGGACAAAAUCCUUCCAAAAUCUUUGGGAGAACAAAAAACAACUCCUUGAAGACUAAGUUGACAAACAAACUCGUUCCUACUUUUCCAUUUGUAUCAACACACACAUAUAUAGCUCAUGAGAUUUGGAAAAGAGAUAAUGUAUUUUCCUAUCUUACACUAAAUAAUAUAUGAGUUAUGGUU